rnacentral:tRNA from 1 species
GGGAAUAUGGCUCAGUGGUAGAGCACUUGCCUGGAAGGCACAUGCAAGGAUCUGGGCUCGAUUCCCAGCCCC